UACGUAGGGGGCUAGCGUUGUCCGGAAUCAUUGGGCGUAAAGAGCGUGUAGGCGGCCCGGUAAGUCCGCUGUGAAAGUCGGGGGCUCAACCCUCGAAUGCCGGUGGAUACUGUCGGGCUAGAGUGCGGAAGAGGCGAGUGGAAUUCCUGGUGUAGCGGUGAAAUGCGCAGAUAUCAGGAGGAACACCCGUGGCGAAAGCGGCUCUCUGGGACGGUACUGACGCUGAGACGCGAAAGCGUGGGGAGCGAACAGG
rnacentral:rRNA from 1 species